AGGUUCGAAGGCGAUCAGAUACCGCCCUAGUUCUAACCAUAAACGAUGCCAGCCAGCGAUCCGCCGAAGUUCCUCCGAUGACUCGGCGGGCAGCUUUCCCGGGAAACCAAAGCUUUUGGGUUCCGGGGGAAGUAUGGUUGCAAAGCUGAAACUUAAAGGAAUUGACGGAAGGGCACCACCAGGAGUGGAGCCUGCGGCUUAAUUUGACUCAACACGGGAAACCUCACCAGGCCCGGACACCGGAAGGAUUGACAGAUUGAGAGCUCUUUCUUGAUUCGGUGGGUGGUGGUGCAUGGCCGUUCUUAGUUGGUGGAGCGAUUUGUCUGGUUAAUUCCGGUAACGAACGAGACUCUAGCCUGCUAAAUAGACGAUUUCCGGUAUCCACAAUAGUGCUACCGGCGAAAUCAAUAUCUUCUUAGAGGGACAGGCGGCUUUUAGCCGCACGAAACUGAGCAAUAACAGGUCUGUGAUGCCCUUAGAUGUCCUGGGCCGCACGCGCGCUACACUGAAGGAAUCAGCGUGUACACCCUGGCCGAAAGGCCCGGGCAACCCGUUGAACCUCCUUCGUGCUAGGGAUUGGGGCUUGCAAUUGUUCCCCAUGAACGAGGAAUUCCCAGUAAGCGCGAGUCAUAAGCUCGCGUUGAUUACGUCCCUGCCCUUUGUACACACCGCCCGUCGCUACUACCGAUUGAAUGAUUUAGUGAGGUCUUCGGACUGGUGCGCGCGACCGCCUCGCGGGCCGCCGAUGCCACCGGGAAGAUGACCGAACUUGAUCAUUUAGAGGAAGUAA
rnacentral:rRNA from 1 species